rnacentral:rRNA from 1 species
UACGUAGGGUGCAAGCGUUGUCCGGAAUUAUUGGGCGUAAAGAGCUCGUAGGUGGUUUGUCGCGUUGUUCGUGAAAACUCACAGCUCAACUGUGGGCGUGCGGGCGAUACGGGCAGACUGGAGUACUGCAGGGGAGACUGGAAUUCCUGGUGUAGCGGUGGAAUGCGCAGAUAUCAGGAGGAACACCCGUGGCGAAGGCGGUUCUCUGGAACGCAACUGACGCUGAGACGCGAAAGCGUGGGGAGCAAACAGG